rnacentral:rRNA from 1 species
UACAUGCAAGUCGAGCGCGGGAAGCAAACUGAAUCCUUCGGGAGGACGUUUGUGGAACGAGCGGCGGACGGGUGAGUAACACGUGGGCAACCUGCCUGUAAGACUGGGAUAACUCCGGGAAACCGGGGCUAAUACCGGAUAACUCAUCGGAUCGCAUGAUCCGAGGUUGAAAGAUGGCUUCUUGCUAUCACUUACAGAUGGGCCCGCGGCGCAUUAGCUAGUUGGUGAGGUAACGGCUCACCAAGGCCACGAUGCGUAGCCGACCUGAGAGGGUGAUCGGCCACACUGGGACUGAGACACGGCCCAGACUCCUACGGGAGGCAGCAGUAGGGAAUCAUCCGCAAUGGACGAAAGUCUGACGGUGCAACGCCGCGUGAGUGAGGAAGGCCUUCGGGUCGUAAAACUCUGUUGUUAGGGAAGAACAAGUUCCGUUCGAAUAGGGCGGAGCCUUGACGGUACCUAACCAGAAAGCCACGGCUAACUACGUGCCAGCAGCCGCGGUAAUACGUAGGUGGCAAGCGUUGUCCGGAAUUAUUGGGCGUAAAGCGCGCGCAGGCGGUUCCUUAAGUCUGAUGUGAAAGCCCACGGCUCAACCGUGGAGGGUCAUUGGAAACUGGGGAACUUGAAGACAGAAGAGGAGAGCGGAAUUCCACGUGUAGCGGUGAAAUGCGUAGAUAUGUGGAGGAACACCAGUGGCGAAGGCGGCUCUCUGGUCUGUGCUUGACGCUGAGGCGCGAAAGCGUGGGGAGCGAACAGGAUUAGAUACCCUGGUAGUCCACGCUGUAAACGAUGAGUGCUAGGUGGUUAGGGGUUUCCACCCUUAGUGCUGCAGUUAACGCAAUAAGCACUCCGCCUGGGGGAGUACGGCCGCAAGGCUGAAACUCAAAGGAAUUGACGGGGGCCCGCACAAGCGGUGGAGCAUGGUGGUUUAAUUCGAAGCAACGCGAAGAACCUUACCAGGUCUUGACAUCCUCGGACCACCCUAGAAGAUAGGGUCUUCCCUUCGGGGACCGAGUGACAGGUGGUGCAUGGUUGUCGUCAGCUCGUGUCGUGAGAUGUUGGGUUAAGUCCCGCAACGAGCGCAACCCUUGAUCUUAGUUGCCAGCAUUCAGUUGGGCACUCUAAGGUGACUGCCGGUGACAAACCGGAGGAAGGGGGGGAUGA